rnacentral:rRNA from 1 species
GGAAGGGGUGUAUUUAUUAGAUUAAAAACCAAUGCCCUUCGGGGCUCUCUGGUGAUUCAUAAUAACUUCUCGAAUCGCAUGGCCUUGUGCCGGCGAUGGUUCAUUCAAACUUCUGCCCUAUCAACUUUCGAUGGCAGGGUCUUGGCCUGCCAUGGUUACAACGGGUAACGGAGGGUUAGGGCUCGACCCCGGAGAAGGAGCCUGAGAAACGGCUACUACAUCCAAGGAAGGCAGCAGGCGCGCAAAUUACCCAAUCCCGAUUCGGGGAGGUAGUGACAAUAAAUACUGAUACAGGGCUCUUUUGGGUCUUGUAAUUGGAAUGAGUACAAUUUAAAUCCCUUAACGAGGAACAAUUGGAGGGCAAGUCUGGUGCCAGCAGCCGCGGUAAUUCCAGCUCCAAUAGCGUAUAUUAAAGUUGUUGUGGUUAAAAAGCUCGUAGUUGAACCUUGGGCCUGGCUGGCCGGUCCGCCUCACCGCGUGUACUGGUCCGGCCGGGUCUUUCCCUCUGUGGAACCCCAUGCCCUUCACUGGGUGUGGCGGGGAACCAGGACUUUUAC